GACAGAGGUGCCGAGCGUUAGGCGGAAUCACUGGGCUUAAAGCGUGUGUAGGCGGGCCGUUAAGUGUCUUGUGAAAUCCCCCGGCUCAACCGGGGAAUUGCUGGGCAUACUGGCGGUCUUGAGCCAUCUAGGGGCUACCGGAACAAAUGGUGGAGCGGUGAAAUGCGUAGAUAUCAUUUGGAACGCCAAUGGUGAAAACAGGUAGCUGGGGAUGUGCUGACGCUGAGACACGAAAGCCAGGGGAGCAAACGGG
rnacentral:rRNA from 1 species